ACAACUCACCGGAUACGACAGCGGAAUGAUAGCCGGGCUGAAGACUCUGCUUGACUAGCUGAGAGGAGGUGCAUGGCCGUCGUCAGUUCGUACUGUGAAGCAUCCUGUUAAGUCAGGCAACGAGCGAGACCACGCCAACAGUUGCCAGCAUGAUCUCCGGAUUGAUGGGGACACUGUUGGGACCGCCUCUGCUAAAGGGGAGGAAGGAAUGGGCAGCGGUAGGUCAGCAUGCCCCGAAUUAUCCGGGCUACACGCGGGCUACAAUGGAUGGGACAAUGGGUUUCGACACCGAAAGGUGAAGGUAAUCUCCUAACCCCACCCGUAGUUCGGAUUGCGGGCUGCAACUCGCCCGCAUGAAGCUGGAAUCCGUAGUAAUCGCGUCUCACGAUGGCGCGGUGAAUGUGUCCCUGCUCCUU
rnacentral:rRNA from 1 species